rnacentral:ncRNA from 1 species
UUGCGAGUAAGUCCCUUCCGAAGUAUAAAUGGGUGGCACCUUGAGGCGACCGCGACGCAGUAGGAAGGGGUUCGCAA